CUACGGGUUGCAGCAGUGGGGAAUAUUGGACAAUGGGGGAAACCCUGAUCCAGCAAUGCCGCGUGUGUGAAGAAGGCCUGCGGGUUGUAAAGCACUUUCGGUUGGGAGGACUGCUUCUAGCACUAAUAUUGUUGGAAGUUGACGUUACCUUCAGAAGAAGCACCGGCUAACUCCGUGCCAGCAGCCGCGGGUAAUACGGAGGGUGCAAGCGUUAAUCGGAAUUACUGGGCGUAAAGCGCGCGUAGGCGGCUAGAUCAGUCGGGUGUGAAAGCCCCGGGCUUAACCUGGGAACUGCAUCCGAUACUGUCUAGCGUGAGUACAGGAGAGGAGAGUGGAAUUCCACAUGUAGCGGUGAAAUGCGUAGAUAUGUGGAGGAACACCAAUGGCGAAGGCAGCUCUCUGGCCUGAUACUGACGCUGAGGUGCGAAAGCGUGGGGAGCAAACAGGAUUAGAUACCCUUGUAGUC
rnacentral:rRNA from 1 species